rnacentral:rRNA from 1 species
AGCGAACGCUGGCGGCAGGCCUAACACAUGCAAGUCGAACGAACCUUUCGGGGUUAGUGGCGGACGGGUGAGUAACACGUGGGAACGUGCCUUUAGGUUCGGAAUAACUCAGGAAAACUUGUGCUAAUACCGAAUGUGCCCUUCGGGGGAAAGAUUUAUCGCCUUUAGAGCGGCCCGCGUCUGAUUAGCUAGUUGGUUGAGGUAAUGGCUCACCAAGGCGACGAUCAGUAGCUGGUCUGAGAGGAUGAUCAGCCACAUUGGGACUGAGACACGGCCCAAACUCCUACGGGAGGCAGCAGUGGGGAAUCUUGCGCAAUGGGCGAAAGCCUGACGCAGCCAUGCCGCGUGAAUGAUGAAGGUCUUAGGAUUGUAAAAUUCUUUCACCGGGGACGAUAAUGACGGUACCCGGAGAAGAAGCCCCGGCUAACUUCGUG